rnacentral:rRNA from 1 species
CCUACGGGUGGCAGCAGUAGGGAAUCUUCCACAAUGGGCGCAAGCCUGAUGGAGCAACGCCGCGUGGGUGAAGAAGGUCUUCGGAUCGUAAAACUCUGUUGUUAGAGAAGAACGAGCGCUAGAGUAACUGUUCACGUCUCGACGGUAUCUAACCAGAAAGCCACGGCUAACUACGUGCCAGCAGCCGCGGUAAUACGUAGGUGGCAAGCGUUAUCCGGAUUUAUUGGGCGUAAAGGGAACGCAGGCGGUCUCUUAAGUCUGAUGUGAAAGCCCUCGGCUUAACCGGAGUAGGGCAUUGGAAACUGGGGGACUUGAGUGCAGAAGAGGAGAGUGGAACUCCAUGUGUAGCGGUGAAAUGCGUAGAUAUAUGGAAGAACACCAGUGGCGAAGGCGGCUCUCUGGUCUGUAACUGACGCUGAGGUUCGAAAGCGUGGGUAGCAAACAGGAUUAGAUACCCUUGUAGUC